rnacentral:rRNA from 1 species
AUUGAACGCUGGCGGCAUGCUUUACACAUGCAAGUCGAACGGUAACAGGGUGCUUGCACCGCUGACGAGUGGCGAACGGGUGAGUAAUGCGUCGGAACGCACCGAGUAAUGGGGGAUAACGCAGCGAAAGUUGUGCUAAUACCGCAUACGCUCUGAGGAGGAGAGCGGGGGACCUUCGGGCCUCGCGUUAUUCGAGCGGCCGACGUCUGAUUAGCUAGUAGGUGAGGUAAGAGCUCACCUAGGCGACGAUCAGUAGCGGGUCUGAGAGGAUGAUCCGCCACACUGGGACUGAGACACGGCCCAGACUCCUACGGGAGGCAGCAGUGGGGAAUUUUGGACAAUGGGCGCAAGCCUGAUCCAGCCAUGCCGCGUGUCUGAAGAAGGCCUUCGGGUUGUAAAGGACUUUUGUCAGGGAGGAAAUCCCUAAGGUUAAUACCCUUGGGGGAUGACAGUACCUGAAGAAUAAGCACCGGCUAACUACGUGCCAGCCGCCGCGGUAA